rnacentral:rRNA from 1 species
CAUACCUAUUCGAAGGGAUAGGGUCGGUUUGGCCGGAUUUCACACAGGUGUUGCAUGGCUGUCGUCAGCUCGUGUCGUGAGAUGUUGGGUUAAGUCCCGCAACGAGCGCAACCCUCAUCCUUAGUUACCAUCAGGUUAUGCUGGGGACUUUAAGGAAACUGCCAGUGAUAAACUGGAGGAAGGUGGGGAUGAUGUCAAGUCAUCAUGGCCCUUAUGGAGUGGGCUACACACGUGCUACAAUGGUGAUUACAAUGGGCUGCGAGGUCGCAAGGCUGAGCUAAUCCUAAAAAAUCAUCUCAGUUCGGAUUGUUCUCUGCAACUCGAGAGCAUGAAGUCGGAAUCGCUAGUAAUCGUGGAUCAGCAUGCCACGGUGAAUACGUUCUCGGGUCUUGUACACACUGCCCGUCACGCCAUGGGAAUUGGUUUCACUCGAAGCU